GAUGAACGCUGGCGGCGUGCCUAAUACAUGCAAGUCGAGCGAACGGACGAGAAGCUUGCUUCUCUGAUGUUAGCGGCGGACGGGUGAGUAACACGUGGAUAACCUACCUAUAAGACUGGGAUAACUUCGGGAAACCGGAGCUAAUACCGGAUGAUAUUUUGAACCGCAUGGUUCAAAAGUGAAAGACGGUCUUGCUGUCACUUAUAGAUGGAUCCGCGCUGCAUUAGCUAGUUGGUAAGGUAACGGCUUACCAAGGCAACGAUGCAUAGCCGACCUGAGAGGAUGAUUGGCCACACUGGAACUGAGACACGGUCCAGACUCCUACGGGAGGCAGCAGUAGGGAAUCUUCCGCAAUGGGCGAAAGCCUGACGGAGCAACGCCGCGUGAGUGAAGAAGGUCUUCGGGUCGUAAAACGCUGUUAGUAGGGAAGAACAGAUGUGUAAGUAACUGUGCACAUCUUGACGGUACCUAAUCAGAAAGCCACGGCUAACUACGUG
rnacentral:rRNA from 1 species